GACGAACGCUGGCGGCGUGCUUAACACAUGCAAGUCGAACGGAAAGGCCCUGCUUUUGUGGGGUGCUCGAGUGGCGAACGGGUGAGUAACACGUGAGUAACCUGCCCUUGACUUUGGGAUAACUUCAGGAAACUGGGGCUAAUACCGGAUAGGAGCUCCUGCUGCAUGGUGGGGGUUGGAAAGUUUCGGCGGUUGGGGAUGGACUCGCGGCUUAUCAGCUUGUUGGUGGGGUAGUGGCUUACCAAGGCUUUGACGGGUAGCCGGCCCGAGAGGGUGACCGGCCACAUUGGGACUGAGAUACGGCCCAGACUCCUACGGGAGGCAGCAGUAGGGAAUAUUGCACAAUGGGCGGAAGCCUGAUGCAGCAACGCCGCGUGCGGGAUGACGGCCUUCGGGUUGUAAACCGCUUUCGCCUGUGACGAAGCGUGAGUGACGGUAAUGGGUAAAGAAGCACCGGCUAACUACGUG
rnacentral:rRNA from 1 species